rnacentral:rRNA from 1 species
CGGACGGGUGAGUAACACGUGGAUAACCUACCUAUAAGACUGGGAUAACUUAGGGAAACCGGAGCUAAUACCGGAUAAUAUAUUGAACCGCAUGGUUCAAUAGUGAAAGACGGUUUUGCUGUCACUUAUAGAUGGAUCCGCGCCGCAUUAGCUAGUUGGUAAGGUAACGGCUUACCAAGGCAACGAUGCGUAGCCGACCUGAGAGGGUGAUCGGCCACACUGGAACUGAGACACGGUCCAGACUCCUACGGGAGGCAGCAGCU